rnacentral:lncRNA from 1 species
GCCCGGGUUGUCUUCUGGAGCGUUCCGAGGAGCCCGCGCUGCUGACCCUUUGUUGGAGCGGGGUGCAUUGGCUCUCCUCCCUCAACCCGUCUUGACACCCGCAGCUGACAAGGAGAGAAUUACAUUACAAGAAAAAAAAGUAAGGAGAUUGAACUCUUCAAACCGAUCCAACAGUAAAGCCUUUUAAAAAAAUUCAUCCUUGGAAGUAAUUCAUAACUAACAGGUGUGAUCUCCAACCUCUGGAAGACCCUAAAAUAAUUACAGAUGCACCCUGGGAUUUCCUAGAAUUUGUGCUGGACUGGCUUCCAAAACUACUCAUCAUUGUCAUCCAAACAAAGCAGUGAGCAGCUGGAAGUUGUUGGUAUUGUACUAAAUAAAUCUAAAGAAAAUUAGAACAAAUAUGAUCUAUGUUUUAAUAAUCAUAAGUAGGAAGCAACUUGGAUACAGAUACACAUAAAUUUAUCCAUUCCUUCAUUCACUAAUUCAUACACUCAUAUUUGCUAAGCAAAUGCUAUGUCCCGGACAAAGUACACCAUUGUGAGUAUCCAAUGUUGACCAAAAUGGAGCCGGUUGUAAGGUCUUUUGAUAUGAUGUUAAAAUUAUUUUUCACUAUCAACAUUUCUAUUGUAAGACAAUAUCAUCAUUUACUAAGUUUAAGAGUAAGUCAACAAAGAAUUAUAAUCUAAUUGCUGACAGCAGUCAUUUUUAAGCAAUUAUUGGUUUGAUCAUAAAAACAAAUGCCACUCUGUUCCUAGUAUGGAGGAAGUUAAAGCUCUCACAACUGUUGGAAGGGCUGAAGGAGGGAAACUCAGAGAAGCUCCACUGAAGAUCUCAGCCUCCAGUCCCCAAGACAGUGGUUCUCAGGAGUUCUCCUGAAGCCACUGGAGCCACAAGAUCUUUCGGAAGUUCUCAGCAAUUCAGGGCUGGAUUCAGGUUUUGUGAUGCUUAAAACUAAUACAAUUUAGAGAGCCCUUUUUGAGAUAAAAUAAAGUUAUGAAUACUAAAAUGCUAGGACUGCUCCCAGAGUCUUCGAAAGGGUCCGUGCAAGACAGGAGCCCUGAAAUUUAAACUUCAUUAGCUUUACUCCUGCACCUGCUAUCUCAGUCAGCAACACCGAUGCAGUAAGUCCUCAAGAAGUUCAUCUGGAAGCAGCUUUGAUGCCGAUGCAUCUUUCUAUAACUGACUCUGGUAUAUAAUGGUCUUCUCUUCUUCCUUCUAAACUUUGAGCGAAAGGCUCUCAUUGUUAGAUUCCAACUUGGAAAUAUACAGGCCGGGAGGGAGAUUCUGGGAAAUGUAGUCUCUGCAUUUGAAGAAGCUAAAGUUGAUGCUAAAUUGACAGGAGGCUAUCCAGCAUAUCACCCUAAGGAAGAAAAUGCAAUUAAUUGACUAAGGAGAUUGAGGAGAAUUCAAGUUAUUCAAGGGACUGGAGCUUAAAAUAAGGAAGCUUUGUGUAUUAGCAUAUUUGAAACUGGAAAACAGUGAAGUAUUAAUCUCAACUUAAUUGAUACAAAAAAGAACAUGAGGGAAAUGGUCAGUUUGGAACAAAAAAGUGCAAGAAUAAGAGAGUAAAGGUAUUUCAGGAUGUCUCCAGCAAUGUUCAGGGGGAGAGUGGACCUUGGUUAUCACGCUCUGUUUGGCACUCAGUAGUAAUGCAUUCAGCACAUUUAUUAAUCAUUGCAAUUUGGUGCUAAGAACAUCAUGCAAAACAGGCAGGAAUGCCCCUGUAUUGAAUGAAUUAAUGGUAUAGACCCAUACUGUCCCAUUGGAAAUAUAAUUUGAGCCCCAAAUGUGAACCAAAUAUUUAAUUUUAAAUUUUCAAGCAGCCACAAUAAAACAGUAAAAAACAGAUGAAAUUAAUUUUAAUAGAUUUUACCUAACUUAAUCAAUAUAAAAUAUAUAUUAUUUCCACAUUUAAUCAAGGGUAAAACCAUGAAUGAUGUAUUCUACAUUCCUCUUUUUUUUUUUUUUUGGUACUAUCUUCAAAGUGUGUAUCUUACACUUCUAAGACAUCUCAAUUUGAACUCACAUUUAAAGAGUUCGGUGUGGCUGAUGACUACCAUAUUGAGUAGCACAAGCCUUCUAGACAAUUAGAAGUUUAACCUGAAUAAUUCUUCAGGAUUCCAUUGGGAAAAAGUCCUGGGCCUGAAAGCUGGACCAUACAUCAGUCUGUGGCUACCCAGCAAGAUAAUGCUACCUGUUGGGCUGGUUUGAGCUUCCUUUGUGACAUAUAAUAUCCAAAGAAUUUACAUGAACCAUAAUGCCAUAAUUCUGAAUAACUCUAUAAUGAUGUCACUGAUGAUCUCUAGGGCAUGUAAACAAAGUGAAUUUACAAUAUCCAUUCCCUGUCACCACUGCCUUUAUGGACUAUGCUUCUUCUUUAACUUUCACAUAUAUUGGCCUACCAUAAUGAAGAUGUAUUAUAGGAUUUCUUCCUUUUCAUUAAGAGAACUGAGAAUAUGGUGGGGAAUUGGCUGUGACUUUACUCUCCCCUAUGGGAAGCUGGAUUUAGAGUUCAGAAAAUGUUGCACCUCUAGACCUGAAAUUAUUAAGCAGGAGGAAAAAAAAAAA